rnacentral:lncRNA from 1 species
GGACCACAAAAGGCUCUUCUCUGACUGUUAUUGUCUAACAGCAAAGUUGCCUAAGGAAAUAGAAUCAAAUAAAACUUCAGUGUUCUAACAAGACAGCUUCAUGGGUAGACAACACUGAAGAUAAGAAGAAUGUGUGGAAUGCGUGCCAGCCCAUAAUGAAGAAAUGACCUGAAGAGGGAAAAGACAGCUGCAGAAAGGGUCUCACUAUGCAGCUCAAACUGCCUAAAACUUACUGCAUAGCCAGGCAGGCCUCAAAUUCACAGUCCUCCUGCCUCAACCUCUUGAGUGCUGGGAUUUCAGAAUCGCCCUCCUCACCACCUGCGGAACAGAAGACAAAUGAUGCACCUUCACUCCAGCAUACUUAGAGGCAUUAUGAAUAAAGAGUCUACUAAGAAGGUUUAUCACGCCUCCCAGAAAAGUCAGCACACUACAAAUGCAGUGCAGUUUAUGGACUAUGAAUAGGAAACACUCUGAAAUUAAGUGAUAUAAACAAGCCAUACUUUAAACAAGAUGCUCUAAGCAUGCUAUACUAAAUGUAUACCAGUAUUUAUACUGAUCCAUUUAUUAACAUCCUGUGUGCUCAUCUUUCCACACUUACAUAAUUUACCAACAUUUGGUUUCAGUGAGGUCGCACAGUCCAUUAACUAUAUUUCUCAUUACUUUUCAUCAGCCAAUAAUAUUACCAUAGUCGUAAUACUUCCUGUACAUAGGUGAACUUUUCUUACAGCCCAUUUCUAUUUAAAGUUAUAACCACAACAAUUCAUGUGCAGACAGUUGUUGGAGCAGAAUUUCAUUUAAUUAUGUAAUUCUAAGUAGCUGAAGUAUAGUCAAGGUUCAUAAAAGGGAAAAUAAUCAGAGCAAGAAUAACCCAUCAGUGGUGGGUGUAAGAAUAAGGCAAUUAAGAUACUUGGCCCCUUCUGUGUGUAGAAGGCUGGAACACAUCUCUUCAUUUCUCGUUCCCCUGGUAUUUCCUCCUGUCAUAGACAGAAGGGCAAUUUAUUUCCCCUUACAUGGUGAGAAAGGUGAAGAAAUAAAGAAUGCAAAGGGCUGGGGAUUUAGCUCAGUGGUGCCGCUGCCUGCCUCGAAAGCACAGGGUCCUGAGUUUGAUCCCCAGUACCCCCCAAAAAGAAUGCAAUUUUAAAAUAGAUAUAAUAAAAGCCUUGCUACCUUCCUUGCUAAGGGUUAUGAAGUUCUGGUGAGGAACAUUUGAAAUUCCCUUGUAAACUGUAAAGGGAAAACCUUCUUCUGUGGCAGCCUUGCUUAAAAUCUGGCAGUGUCUUCCCUAGGACUUCAGGAUGAAGUUCAGAAUCUGUGUAUGCCUCAGUGAUCCUCCCUGACCUCAGCUCACACCUGCAGACAUCUCCUAUCUCUCAGUCACCUCCAGUGUUCCACAUACAUGACAAGCUUCCAUUCAUGCUCAUCCUUCUCUUUGUACCCUUACUUCUCUGUCCCUUACAUCUGUGUAGGUAUUCCUCCUCCAUGUCCCCUUCGAAACACAUGCUUUCUCUCAAGCAACACUUCCCAGCAGCAGCACCGUGGGCAUUCUGGACAGGACAGGAUUUUUUUUUUAAUUGAGGAGGGUUGGCAGGGCACUAUAGAGUGUUUAGCAGCAUCAGUGACCUCUAUCCACUAGAUGCCAGUAGCAGGCCCCUCAUUUUGACAACCACUUUCCCCAGAAACAAAUUGCAUUUGCUGAGAACCACUGCUCUAAGGUACAGCUUAUACUGGAACCAGUUGUAGUCUAACUAUAGCCAGAUGCUCACAAAAUGUACACACAAAUAAAAAUGCAGCUUUCUUUGUUAGUAGAGGACUGAUCUUGCUUUCAAGCCACCAAGCCACCAUCACACUGGUGAGAGAAAAUAUUUGAUCUGGCUAAUUGAAAGUAUCCUAUUCUUUUCUGGUUUAAAACCUUUUAUUGCAUGAAAAGUGAAGCAUUCCCCUCUGAAGUUUGAUUUCAUGUUUACUCAUAAACAGCAGCUGCUCUCAAAAGUUGUUCACUUAAUCCCUGGUACCAAAAAAAAAAAUUGUUCACUUUUCCUUGGCCUGGUGGCACAUGCCUGUAAUCCCAGCACUUAGAAGGCUGAAGCAGGAGGAUUGCUGUAAAUUCAAGGCCAGUCUGAACUACAUAGUGAGACCCUGUCUCAAAAAACAAACAAACAAAAGUUGUCCACUUCUGAGUAAUUGUGAGUUUGCCUCAGAGCACACAAAUGCUCUAAAGGGCUUUUUGUUUUAUGUCGUAGGAGAAGUGGGCAGAAUGAGCUGGAUGCUCAGAAGUUUGCAAGUUAAGCCAUGGAGCAGAAGCAGGGAGGGGACACUACAUCUGGUCUUCUCUCUGCCUAGAUCUAUUUCCAACUUAAAGUCUAAGCAGGGUGUUUUCAUUCAGCACCUUUCAAAGGACACUUGGAGUUUACCUAGCAUUUCCCCAGAGAUGACAGGAACAAAAUCCUACACGUCAAGAUCUCCCCAGAACUUUCCAGGUUAUUGAAGGUCUCUCUCCCUCCCUCAACUCUGGAAUGGAAGAAUGUGGAGGUAAACAAGCCCAGGUGGGUUGCCCCCUCCACCUUUCUCUGCCUCUCUUCUUUGAACCAAACAGGCUUUGUUUCCCCUUCUCUCCUUUCCCAGGAGGGAUUGCUCUAAUGUCAUAGCCUCUUCCUUCCCCAAAUGGCAUGUUCUGUUACCCUUUUCUGUAACCACAAAGGCAGAAAGAACCAAGCUCACUGAUGAGGGGGUAAUUCAAACUCCUUCAGUUAGCAUAUCUGUCUGAAAAUAUAUAGUCAUCUAUGUCCUCAUUUGUGUCCCUAGAAGGGCAGGAUUGUGCUUGCCUCACGGACUGUUAUAUCCCCACUACUUGGCAUGAUGCUGCUAUCAUAAGUUAACGAGAAUGCAGCAAGCUUGGAAUAACAAAAAUGUAUUAUCUCGUAGUUCCCAUGGAUUAGGAGUCAGGCAUGGCAUAACUUGGUCAUCUUCUUAGGUGACCUGUAUUCAAGAUGUCAACCACCAAGAGACAGGAUCUCAUCCGAGGCUCAAGGACUUUAUAUGGUUGUUGGCAGAAUCCAUUUCCCUGCCACUAUAGAGCAAUAGUGACUUGCUGCAAAGCAAGCAAGAGGCUCUUUCUGACACUUUCAGAGCUUUCAUUUGAUUUAGACUCAUCCAAGAUAAUUGCCCUUUUGAUUAGCUCAAAAUCAACUGAUUUGCAAAGCUUUUAACCUUUGCCAUAAAGCCCAAUCCAAUCACAGGUGCAGCAUUCAUCAUAUUUUCAGGUCCUGCCCACAGUGGAAGGAAACACAAAGAAUGAGUCAUUGAGAAUCAUCUUAGGACUCUGCCUGCUAUGGUACCUCAAAGGUUUGUUGAAUGAAUAAAUGAAAACAAGAAGAAAGAUAUGUACCCCAUUUGUCCUUACAAUAAUUCCAGGAUGUAGGCAGUAUCACAAAGGAUUUGCCUUUAUUCAAAGAGGUAGAAAUUGCAAGAUAGGCUGAAGACUAAGGUCUGUUUGAGUCCUCAGAAAAAUAUUCCCCUCAAACCUCAGCUGUGGUAUGCUGUGUGUGACCAGUGCCUUUCACACAAACAGGUUCAGCCCUUCUGCUCCCACUCUCAGGUUAGAGCCAGCCAUGAGGUGGAGCCACAGGCCCAUGAGUGCUUUCACUGUUCAUCCUCCCAAACACUGGGUCACCCACAGAAUGCAGAGGCCAGUCCUUGGAACUAGGGCUUCUGGGCACAAAGGAGAGCAAGGAUCAGCUUGCUCCUACCUAUAGGUUUUGCUCACAGCCCAACCCUAGAAAAAUUGGCACCUGCAGUAGAUACAGAGGGGAAUCUAGGGAGCCAUUUCUUUUUUUUUUUUUCCCUCCUUCCUCCUCUUAAGGGUAAGUUGGGCUCUGUGCUCUGGUGGGAAUAGGAUGUAGACAAGUUUCCAGACACAGAAAGGCAAGAAUCCUGGGCACCCCAGGGAGAGGUUAUUGGGUCAGUUUGGACAGCAAUGAUAGUGGGUUGUCAGUGGUGGUGGUACUGUGGUGGCUUUGUUUUGUUUUGUUUUUGUUUGUUUUGUACUAGAGAUUGAACCCUGGCCUCUGAACUGAGCUACACCCCAAUCUCUAUUUAUUUAUUUAUUUAUUUAUUUAUUUAUUUAUUUAUUUAUUGUUUUACUUUGAGAUAAGGUCUCUAAGUUGCACAGGCUGGGCUCAAACUUUCAAUCCUCCUGGCUCACCUUCAUAGAGAGCUGAGAUUACACCUGGCUCUUGGUGAUAGUGUUUCAUAUAUGUUAAAAGCAAAAGAAUUUGUAGAAGAAGAGUAACUUCUUCUUCUAUCUGUCUCUGAACCACUCCUGCUUGUGUCUCUUUGACUGUGCACCACAUAUUCUAUCACCUCUAUGUGUCUUCCCAUGGCCUCUUUUGCCUCCCUUCCCUUAAUUUUUCCUGGUUGUUUAUGAUCUUUAACAUGCAAUACUCUUUUUGUCUGCCUUUGUGAUGAUACAUUUACAUUUUUAUCACCUCCAGAUUCCAUAUUAAAGUCUCCCCCCAUCGUAAUAUAAUAUGCAUGAUGUCAAUCAUAUCUCUCCACAAUCUCACAGCAUGCCAGGCACAAAUCCAAGGCAGAUGAUAUUUGUUUGUAUAUUUUCAUAAGCCAUGUUAGGUUUUAAUUGCAAUGAAGCAAUAAAACAAAGAUAUGAAUACAUUAAUCUGUAGCUGGCGUCUUUGUCAUUCACUUCAUGUUGAGCUCCCCAUUGAAAUU